rnacentral:rRNA from 1 species
CAGCAGCCGCGGGAAUACAGAGGGUGCGAGCGUUAAUCGGAUUUACUGGGCGUAAAGCGUGCGUAGGCGGCUUCUUAAGUCGGAUGUGAAAUCCCUGAGCUUAACUUAGGAAUUGCAUUCGAUACUGGGAAGCUAGAGUAUGGGAGAGGAUGGUAGAAUUCCAGGUGUAGCGGUGAAAUGCGUAGAGAUCGGGAGGAACAUCAGUGGCGAAGGCGGCCAUCUGGGACAACACUGACGCUGAGGCACGAAAGCGUGGGGAGCAAACAGGAUUAGAUACCCCUGUAGUCCCUGUCUCUUAUAC